GCAAAGUUGGCAGAUUAAUGUGUUUGGUUUAGGGCCAAAUCAUGUGGGAUUUUCCCACACUUUGCU
rnacentral:tRNA from 1 species